rnacentral:rRNA from 1 species
GACGUAGGGUGCGAGCGUUGUCCGGAUUUAUUGGGCGUAAAGAGCUCGUAGGCGGCUCGUCGCGUCGACCGUGAAAACCCGCGGCUUAACUGCGGGCUUGCGGUUGAUACAGGCGGGCUAGAGUUCGGUAGGGGAGACUGGAAUUCCUGGUGUAGCGGUGAAAUGCGCAGAUAUCAGGAGGAACACCGGUGGCGAAGGCGGGUCUCUGGGACCGGUACUGACGUGCGCUGGAGGCGAGCGAAAGCGUGGGGAGCGAAC